rnacentral:lncRNA from 1 species
UCCGUGCUGGCUCUCAGGGGAUUCAAAUCGGCCCUUAAUGCGGGGUAGCUCCUAACGUGGGCGCAGCUGAGCAGGGCACGGCGAUGGAGCAGCUUACGCUUAAUGCUGCUGCAGACCUCAGCCUUAAGGAACAGGUAGGCACGGCUUAGCUCAGCAUCGUUUCAAAUGCCAGGUUCAAAACAUGUUCAACUCCACCGAGUCGUGGGCAGCGGGGCUCUCCUUUGUCAGAGAUUCGUACUGAAGACAAACAUUGGUGGCAAUUGUGUCUAAAAAUACCUCCGAACCUGCUUCUUGGGGGCGAGCGCAGACGCCAGGCGCCUGACCAUGGCCGUAAAUUGCUGUCGGUGACACAGCUCGGGCGUAUUUAGGGGACCCAGCUUUGCCCUUUCCUUGACAGGACAGCGGCUCGCCCUGGGGUUCGUCUGCUCGUGUCACUGUCAUCUGUCAUGACACACUCGCGCGGGACCCAGCUGCUUACGCUGGGAAAGAAGAAAUGUGAAAAUAAUUGGUUGAUGCUUAUGUGGCUCCUUAGGCUACACCUGCACAGCCCUUUUCGGGGCUCUCUAUUUGAAGAAUCAUUAACCUUACAUAUACAUACUGCCCUGUAUCUUAGAUAAUGUGCCCUUCUGCCGUUAACCUUUACAUAAUGCAAGUGGGAAAAAAAGCCUCAUCACUACUGAGCGCGUCCGAGUGCAGCCUGGCUGCAGUUUAACGAUGAUACUGAAAGCGUCGUCAUGUUUUGGUAUACUCCUUUCUGAGGUGAGAUUGAUCCUCCU